rnacentral:tRNA from 1 species
GCGGCCGUAGCUCAAUGGCAGAGUUCCUGGUUGUGGUCCAGGCGGUUGUGGGUUCGAUCCCCACCGGUCGCC